CAAGCCCAGUUCAAUCCAAGUGAAUUAAUUGAUCAAGCCCAAUUUCAGCAAAUCAAUUGCAGCCCAGCCCAUAGCUUGAAGCCCAUCUUCGCAGCAGGCCCAAUCCAACUUGAGUCUGGCCCAAAAGCAAGAACAAAUCUCAGUUGGGCUGAGAUUUGUUGGGCCAAGUCUUAAGCCCGGUCCAAGUCCGCCGGUGUCGUCGAAAGUCCGAUUUCGACCGCCGUCGCGUCGCCGUUGCGGUGAUUCGAUCUCCGCUUUUGUCAAGUGAGUUUUACUCACUAAUGCUUUAUUAGUUUGCUAAUUAUGCCUUAGGGUUGGUUAGAUUUAAUUACAUGCACUUAGGUGGUUAGAUUAGGUUAGAACAAUUAAAUUAGUGACUUAAGGAUGCAUGUUAGGUGGUUAGACCUAGCUAUUAGCAAGUAGAAAUGUUUGGUUAUUUAUUGAAUGUAUCUCGGGAUUUUUCCCGACCCGUUUCGGGCUCCAAUAAGGCAAUAUAGGCCUAAAUUGGAUUUUUAAUGUUUAUUUAUUUAUUUUUCGAAAUUAAUUAUUUAAUUAAUUAUUUUUCUGGAAAUUCAACCGGGAUGGUCGGUGACCGGAAUUUCGUGCUGAUUGUCGUGGUGCAGUCCGUUUAUUUAUUUGAGCUCUACGUUGUGUGGAAUUGAAUUUAUUGUGAAAUUUUAGGAAUUGUCCUAAAUUGUUUGUUAUUGAAUAUUUGAUUGAUGGAUGGCUGAGUAUGGAUAUAUAGCGCCAGUACGUUGAUGGGCUAUAUAGUAGGGAGAAUGGUGAGAGCUAACUGAGAACAUUAUUGGUUGAGACCAAUCAGGUACGAUAUUAUUGGACAUACGUGGUUCGGUGAUUGGGAGUAUCACUGGCGAAAACGGCGCCUUAAAGAACGCACGUAAAUGACUUAUAGACAAACGUGGUUCGGUGAUUAUGGGAAUAUCACUGGUGAAAACGGCGCCUUAAAGAACUCACGAUGUUGUCUAUAGCCGAUGUCACCUUGGCGAAAACGGCGCCCUUGAAAGGACACGUGGUUCGGUGAUCGAGGUUAUCACUGGUAAAAACGGCGCCUUAAAGAACGCACGGUGUCGGUGAUCGGUAUGUCAUUGGCGAAAACGACGCCCAAGAAACACAUGUGAUUUGGUGAAUGAGUACACCACUGGGAAAUCGUGGUAUGAGUGGGAAUGACCUAGAAAGGGUCUGGCUGACAUGUAAUCGACUUAGUCGAUUGACCAGUGCGUGAUCGGAUGUCGUGAAUUGUUUAAAUAUCUAUGUUUAACCUUGAAUUGCAGGUUGGAACUGAGGCCAAGGUAAGUCCUCUGACUCGUGUUGUGCUUAAGCAACCGUAUGGCGUAUUAGUUUAUUAAUCGAGUCUUAGUGGGUAGGACUCGCUGAAACGUGGUCUCAUUGGUUAUUGAAUAACCAUUUCAGGACCCUGAGGAGAAGCUAAGGAAGGGGAACCUGAAGGGGAGAAAGACUUUUGAAGAAGAAGAUGAUCCAGAGAGGGAUCUUGAAUAUAACCCGGAUGAGAAUCGAGAUCCCAUCCCUUUUGUGAACCCUGUCUUGGUAUAGAUAGGUGUGAGACUUUUAUGCUGUAAAUAGUAUUGUAAAUAUACUAUGAGUGGUGCUGUUAAUGAAAGUGUGGUUGUGAAUUUCAAUAUGAAAAAUAU
rnacentral:lncRNA from 1 species